CCGAUGGAGGGGGGUAACUACUGGAAACGGUAGCUAAUACCGCAUAACGUCGCAAGACCAAAGAGGGGGACCUUGGGCCUCUUGCCAUCGGAUGUGCCCAGAUGGGAUUAGCUAGUAGGUGGGGUAAAGGCUCACCUAGGCGACGAUCCCUAGCUGGUCUGAGAGGAUGACCAGCCACACUGGAACUGAGACACGGUCCGG
rnacentral:rRNA from 1 species